GAUGAACGCUGGCGGCGUGCCUAAUACAUGCAAGUCGAGCGAACAGACGAGGAGCUUGCUCCUCUGACGUUAGCGGCGGACGGGUGAGUAACACGUGGAUAACCUACCUAUAAGACUGGGAUAACUUCGGGAAACCGGAGCUAAUACCGGAUAAUAUAUUGAACCGCAUGGUUCAAUAGUGAAAGACGGUUUUGCUGGCACUUAUAGAUGGAUCCGGGCCGCAUGAGCUAGUUGUGAAGUUAACGGCUUACCACGGCAACGAGGCGUAGCCGACCGGAGAGGCUGGUCGGCCACCCUGGAACUGAGACACGGUCCAGACUCCUAAGGUACGCCGCAGUCGGGAAUCGGACGCAGUGGGCGAAAGCCUUACGGAGCAAGCCGGAGUGAGUGAUGGAGGUGUUCGGAGCGUAAAACUCUGUUAUGGGGGGAGAACAGAUGUGUAAGGAGCUAUGCACGGAUUGACGGUAACUAAUCAGAAAGCCACGGCUAACUACGUG
rnacentral:rRNA from 1 species